rnacentral:rRNA from 1 species
UGGAGAGUUUGAUCCUGGCUCAGAACGAACGCUGGCGGCAGGCUUAACACAUGCAAGUCGAGCGCCCCGCAAGGGGAGCGGCAGACGGGUGAGUAACGCGUGGGAAUCUACCCAGCUCUACGGAAUAACCCAGGGAAACUUGGACUAAUACCGUAUACGUCCUUCGGGAGAAAGAUUUAUCGGAGUUGGAUGAGCCCGCGUUGGAUUAGCUAGUUGGUGAGGUAAUGGCUCACCAAGGCGACGAUCCAUAGCUGGUCUGAGAGGAUGAUCAGCCACACUGGGACUGAGACACGGCCCAGACUCCUACGGGAGGCAGCAGUGGGGAAUAUUGGACAAUGGGCGCAAGCCUGAUCCAGCCAUGCCGCGUGAGUGAUGAAGGCCCUAGGGUUGUAAAGCUCUUUCACCGGUGAAGAUAAUGAC